UACGGGGGGGCAAGCGUUGUUCGGAAUUACUGGGCGUAAAGGCUCGUAGGCGGCCAACUAAGUCGGAUGUGAAAUCCCCAGGCUCAACCUGGGAACUGCAUCCGAUACUGGAUGGCUUGAAUUCGGGAGAGGGAUGCAGAAUUCCAGGUGUAGCGGUGAAAUGCGUAGAUAUCUGGAGGAAUACCGGUGGCGAAGGCGGCAUCCUGGACCGACAUUGACGCUGAGGAGCGAAAGCCAGGGAGCAAAGCGGG
rnacentral:rRNA from 1 species